ensembl:lncRNA novel transcript
UUUUCAAUGACUUUACAACUUUUGAAGAGCACUGCUGUGGAUACACAGAAGAGAGUGAUUCUCAACCACAAAGAAAUGAAGGUGACGGGGUCUGUGAUGGGGACUUAAAUGAACAAGAGGUUUAGAAACACUAAUUCAAGUCUAUCCCCUUCAUAAUACAAAUAAAGAACCUAUGACCCAUUAGACCUAUAAA